GAAGGAGCGGUUGAAGGUGCGGCCGGGACUGCCUCCAGGUCAAUCCUUGGCUCGAUGUCGACCUCGUUCCUGCAGAACCAGGAUGAGUCGCUCACCAACGUCUUCGUCAAUCGCUCGCCUGCCUCCCCAUCCAAAUCUGCCGUGUCAAGGAAUAGGCGGACCUCGAGGUCGUGGAUCGAGAUGUACGAUCCGAGGUCG
rnacentral:misc_RNA from 1 species